rnacentral:tRNA from 1 species
GCAUCCGUGGCCUACUGGUUAGGGCUUCGGACUUGUAACCGCAGGGUUGCUGGUUCAAACCCGUGACCGGUAGGA